UCGUGGUGGUGUUGACGCAUGUGACUGUGUGACCCAGCGCCGCCGCCCGAACCCGUGGUCAGCACGCCCGCGAAGAGAGCCAACAGCACCCACGCCCGCAGGAGAGACUUGUCUUCUGAGGGUGCCAUUCUUCUCUGUUGCAACAG
rnacentral:lncRNA from 1 species